rnacentral:lncRNA from 1 species
AGAUCCCACCCCAUUGGUGGUAGAUCUUAAAACUGCUUGCAAAAGCUGCAGAUGCGUCUGCAGCCUAUUAAGUUGAGUAAAAUGCGAGAGGGCUUGCAGUCUGCUGGGGAAUACUCCAAUCAGAGGCUUCUCAUAGAGACACUAACUUGCAGCUUUCCAGUGCUUCUCAUUGAGCUGUAAUGCAUCUAAUUUAGAAGGGGAUAGGCAGGUGUAUGCCUGCUGUGUUCAUGGCUCUGACCACCAAGGAGGGAUUUUUUUAUUUUUAUUUUUUAAUGGCCCAAAUAUAAAAUUGUCCCUUUUUAUAAUCUCACAUAUGUGGUACACACGCAAGCUGAAGUGCUUUUGUGUGUGGAGUGUCCUUUUAAAGGAACACUCAGAGCACCAUAUGCACCACAGCUUGCAGUAGUGUAAAUAUAUCAAACAGCAUGUUGGUAUGAUGCUCAGAUUGUCACUUUAAACAUGGUUCCCGUUUAGGUUUAGAAAUGUUGCAGUUGGGUUUGAGCACCAAAUAGUAACCCAACCUCAUUUAAAAGUCUGUCUUUGAAUGUGUCUACUUUGUACACUUUCCAAAGUCUAAGAAUUUAGACAUGGCCUUGGCUUCUGUAAUCAAUCCUUAGACUGGCAGUGCAGCAUACAAACAAGUAGAAUUUAAUAACUGAAGUUCUUUAAUGAACACACUGGAGUGUAGGUUACUUUAUAUAUUAUACAGAUGGAUUACAAAGAACAAACACCAAACUUUGAUCAUUUGCAGCAAAUGUAGUAAAGUCACAGACUAGGAAUCUGCAUAGCCAGCCAUUUAACUUUAAGUUUUUAUAUAGCGCCAGCAAAUUCUGUAGCGCCGUACAAUGGGAAAAUCCCAUAAUUGUCAGUUACUGUGGAAAGCUAACAGCUGAACUGCAACUCUCUUACCCUGAUGUACAGCAGUAUUAUUGAAGCAAAAGGGAUUCCUUGCAGGCUUGUAGAAAGGGCAGAAUUGGGUAGGUUUGUGGAAUUUUUUUUUUUUUUUUAACUUAAAGAUGAGUAAUAUACCCAUCUUAACUAACUGUAACCUACCUCCUAUCAUACUUAAUUAGUGCUUUCUAGAGUGUCCUCUUAAGUCUAUAUUUUGAUUCCCCUACAAAUGCUGCAGAACUGUCUGGCAUUUACUCUAAAUAUGCAGAACAAACAUAUGUAUUUUUUUUUUUUUUUUUUUAAAUGGGAGGGGCAAUCAAUAUUCUAAAUAUCUGUGAACCAUUAAUUUUUUUUAUUUUUAGAAUUUGCAGUCUCUUGUCAACACACAAACUGUCAAACUUUUUUUUUUAUUUUUUUUUUGGACUGGUAAAGAAAUGCGGGUUUUGAACCUUAAAAUCGAAGGGCCUUUAUAUUUUUUUCUCCUCUCCAUGGGUGCUUUAAAUGGCACUGCUCUCACUUUGAGAAGAUUCCAUUAAAUUUCAGCUUGCACUUAUGUAUUAAGAUGAUGCGAUGUUUGCCAUGAGUAGCAUUUUGAUAGUUUUGUUUUAUUUUGGUUUACUCUGCUGGACAGAAAGCAUUUUAGUAGGUACAAGGUUAAUGUUACAUGCUUUGUAGCAAGCAGGUAUAAUACACACUUUGCAAUAUUUUUACAGCCACAAAUGGGGAAUUUCAAAUCCAAUAACUCGUUAGGAUGCAGUACUGUAUGCACAUUAACUCCUGGCUGCUAGAUUGUGGCCAGGCCUUUCUUGAUCCAAUAUGUGCAAGCGUUUUUUUUUUUCUUUUAACAAAAUAUUACAGCCACUUCUGUGUUUACUGAAUUUUGGCAUGUAAAUUUCGGUACUGACUGUUAGUGUAAAACACGUUCUGUCUUAUGGUGUCAUGAGAAAUUCAUGUAGCUAGAUUAAAUGGUUUUCAUGAUGAAACAAAAGCUGUAUGUUUAGUGUUUCUCAAAUAAAUCAUACUGUAGACGUUAGACAGAUUUAUCACUUGCAAGUACUUGUCACCAGAUGUGUGGAACAUUUUGCUGGGGUUUAUAGAUUUGUGUUUUGUGUUUUUCUCCUCUCUUCUCAAAGAGGUUUGAAGAGAUGCAAUAAGUAAAACCAUGCAAUAAUGCAUCACCACUAAACCAGACACUGCUGGUAGGAACAAUCUAAAAGGAUGCCUUUGAACACAAUGGGAGGGUUUCACUGGAUCAGUCAAAUAAGUUCAAUCCAAGUUGUAAAAUCAGUGUCUGACUAAAUUUUCUAUAUAGUAUUUAAAAACGUUUGAUUUACAAUAAAACAAAGUCUUAAUGUAAAGUACACCUUUUUCUAAAAUAAAUGGUAUGGGGGACUUCUAAAACUGAAGAAAUCGCCAUGCUUUAAGAACAUUUAAUUGGUUUACAUGGUGAUUGAAAAAAGUGAGACAAAGUUCUAAAAGAACAAUUUUUUUUUUAAUAUAAAUCUCCCCCAAAAGUAAAAUGAUGUACAGCAUCAAUUUUCUCCUGCUUCUAAAACAAACCAGGCCUUAUUGCUACCCCGUUUUGAAGAUGGGUUUUUGUUGACCUAUCUCAGCUGUGUUAGCAUUGGCACUAAAUAUGAAGCGGGCAAUUUCCUACUUGGGUUCACAGGGUCACCACAGACCUCUAAAUCACGUUCGGGGGGGGGCGCACGGGGAUAAUACUGUUCCUGGUUUGUUAAGCUCUGUGGACCUAAACACAAAAGGCAGCAAUUGCCCAGAGCACCUGCCUUGCAAAGACUUCUCAUUGAGCUGUAUUGGGAAGCCUGUGAUUGGACCACCACUAAGUCUGGGUGGGACUAGGAGAGGACAAGGAUGCAGACAAGAAAUCUGACUUCAUUUGGGAAAUGGAGUGUCUUUCAAAUAGAAUCAACCCAUUAAAAUGGCUAGUUUGCUUUUUCACAUCUAUAUUUUAUAACCCAUCAUUUUUUUUUUUUUUUUUUCUCCUUUCAGGUAAAUCAUUGUUAAACUUGAAUAUAUCCUUGCCUCUUGAGCCUGUUUAGGUUAUUUGGUGUAGUCUGUUGGGUUUAUUUUUAAUCUUUUUGUUUUGUUUCCUAAAGAAAUUAGAAAAAUAGACCCACCUAGCUCAAUGUGAUUCAACUGGUGACAAGUAUCUUAUUCCUUAACCUUUUCUCUCUGUAUUGGCUUUUUGUUUGGUACCAUAGUGCACUAUUGUUCAAAGUACAGUUGCAUCUAAUUGUUCAAUAACCUGUAUCGGCUGUGUUUUCACCCCAUCACGGGGGACAGAUCUGUGUACAGCAUUUACAUGGUUCCAUGAUACUUAUCUGUCUUGCAGAAAUAAAGACAAACAAACAUAU